rnacentral:rRNA from 1 species
AACGCGAAGAACCUUACCUGGCCUUGACAUGCAUUGGACCGGCGCUGAAAGGCGCCUUUCCCGCAAGGGACCGGUGCACAGGUGCUGCAUGGCUGUCGUCAGCUCGUGUCGUGAGAUGUUGCGUUAAGUCGCGCAACGAGCGCAACCCCUGUCCUUAGUUGCCACCAUUCAGUUGGGCACUCUAGGGAGACAAACCCUCUUUGAGGGUGGGAAGGUGGGGAUGACGUCAAGUCAGGAUGGCCCUUACGGCCAGGGCUGCACACGUGCUACAAUGCCCGGUACAGAGGGAAGCAAUACCGCGAGGUGGAGCAAAUCCUCAAAACCGGGCCCAGUUCAGAUUGUAGUCUGCAACUCGACUACAUGAAGUUGGAAUCGCUAGUAAUGGCGUAUCAGCUACGACGCCGUGAAUACGUUCCCGGGCCUUGUA